CAGUAGCCACGGGAAAACGUAGGGCGCAAGCGUUGUCCGGAAUUAUUGGGCGUAAAGAGCUCGUAGGCGGUCUGUCGCGUCUGGUGUGAAAUCCCGAGGCUCAACCUCGGGCUUGCAUCGGGUACGGGCAGACUAGAGUGCGGUAGGGGAGACUGGAAUUCCUGGUGUAGCGGUGGAAUGCGCAGAUAUCAGGAGGAACACCGAUGGCGAAGGCAGGUCUCUGGGCCGCAACUGACGCUGAGGAGCGAAAGCAUGGGGAGCGAACAGGAUUAGAUACCCCUGUAGUCCCUGUCUCUUAUAC
rnacentral:rRNA from 1 species